AUAAUCCUACCACAAUGUAAACACCGGUUCUCGUCCGAUCUGCGAAGUUAAGCAAUGUCGGUCCCGGUCGUUACUUGGGAGGGUGACCACUUGUGUGGAUGUUGUAGGGUAUUCUUUU